UGGCUCUCGCAACGAUGAAGAACGCAGCGAAAUGCGAUACGUAUCAUGAAUUGCAGAUUUCUGAAUGAUAAAUGUUUGAACGCAAAUGGCGCUAUCUUUUUGGUAGCAUGUCUGUCUGAGAAUCUUAAAGGUUUUCCUCAACUAGGUUCUAGUUGGAAUUUGAUGAAUCUACUUACAGUAGUUCAUUGAAAUUAUUGUCUACUUCAAUUUUUGGUGCUUUUACAAUUCAGAAAGUGCUUGACAAAACGUCCUACAUUUUUUAUUUUGUGAUUGAUUGGCCCAAAAAUCUUAAACUUGGUCUCAGAUCAGACAGGAGGACCCGCUGA
rnacentral:misc_RNA from 1 species